UGGGGAAUAUUGGACAAUGGGCGGAAGCCUGAUCCAGCAACGCCGCGUGAGGGAUGACGGCCUUCGGGUUGUAAACCUCUUUCGCCUGUGACGAAGCCCUUGUUUUUGGCUGGGGGUUGGACGGUAGUGGGUAAAGAAGCACCGGCCAACUACGUGCCAGCAGCCGCGGUAAUACGUAGGGUGCGAGCGUUGUCCGGAAUUAUUGGGCGUAAAGGGCUCGUAGGCGGUUUGUCGCGUCGGGAGUGAAAGCCCAGGGCUUAACCCUGGGUCUGCUUCUGAUACGGGCAGACUAGAGGUAUGUAGGGGAGAACGGAAUUCCUGGUGUAGCGGUGAAAUGCGCAGAUAUCAGGAGGAACACCGGUUGGCGAAGGCGGUUCUCUGGGCAUUACCUGACGCUGAGGAGCG
rnacentral:rRNA from 1 species